GACGAACGCUGGCGGCGUGCUUAACACAUGCAAGUCGAACGGUGAACCUCUUCGGAGGGGAUCAGUGGCGAACGGGUGAGUAACACGUGGGCAACCUGCCCCCGGCUCUGGGAUAACUCCAAGAAAUUGGGGCUAAUACCGGAUGUUCACCGCUUCCCGCAUGGGUGGUGGUGGAAAGGGUUUCCGGCUGGGGAUGGGCCCGCGGCCUAUCAGCUUGUUGGUGGGGUAGUGGCCUACCAAGGCGACGACGGGUAGCCGGCCUGAGAGGGUGACCGGCCACACUGGGACUGAGACACGGCCCAGACUCCUACGGGAGGCAGCAGUGGGGAAUAUUGCGCAAUGGGCGGAAGCCUGACGCAGCGACGCCGCGUGGGGGAUGACGGCCUUCGGGUGGUAAACCUCUUUCAGCAGGGACGAAGCGCAAGUGACGGUACCUGCAGAAGAAGCACCGGCCAACUACGU
rnacentral:rRNA from 1 species